rnacentral:tRNA from 1 species
AGUAGUGAAGUAAAAAUUACAUUUAGUUUCGACCUAAAAAUAAGAGGCUUCUCCUCCUUACUU